UAGGGAAUCUUCCGCAAUGGACGAAAGUCUGACGGAGCAACGCCGCGUGAGUGAAGAAGGUUUUCGGAUCGUAAAACUCUGUUGUUAGAGAAGAACAAGUAGGAGAGUAACUGCUCCUGCCUUGACGGUAUCUAACCAGAAAGCCACGGCUAACUACGUGCCAGCAGCCGCGGUAAUACGUAGGUGGCAAGCGUUGUCCGGAUUUAUUGGGCGUAAAGCGAGCGCAGGCGGUUUCUUAAGUCUGAUGUGAAAGCCCCCGGCUUAACCGGGGAGGGUCAUUGGAAACUGGGAGACUUGAGUGCAGAAGAGGAGAGUGGAAUUCCAUGUGUAGCGGUGAAAUGCGUAGAUAUAUGGAGGAACACCAGUGGCGAAGGCGACUCUCUGGUCUGUAACUGACGCUGAGGCUCGAAAGCGUGGGGAGCAAACA
rnacentral:rRNA from 1 species